GACGUAGGGCGCGAGCGUUGUCCGGAUUUAUUGGGCGUAAAGAGCUCGUAGGCGGCUUGUUGCGUCGACUGUGAAAACCCGCGGCUCAACCGUGUGGUCUGCAGUCGAUACGGGCAGGCUGGAGUUCGGUAGGGGAGACUGGAAUUCCUGGUGUAGCGGUGAAAUGCGCAGAUAUCAGGAAGAACACCCGUGGCGAAAGCGGCUCUCUGGAACGGUACUGACGCUGAGACGCGAAAGCGUGGGGAGCGAACAGG
rnacentral:rRNA from 1 species